rnacentral:rRNA from 1 species
GAUGAACGCUAGCGGCAGGCCUAACACAUGCAAGUCGAGGGGCAGCACAGAAACAGCAAUGUUUUGGUGGCGACCGGCGGACGGGUGCGUAACGCGUAUGCAACCUACCUUUAACAGGGGGAUAACGGAGAGAAAUUUCCACUAAUACCCCAUAACAUCGAUCAAGGCAUCUUGAUUGGUUGAAAACUCCGGUGGUUAAAGAUGGGCGUGCGUUGUAUUAGGUAGUUGGUGAGGUAAUGGCUCACCAAGCCUACGAUACAUAGGGGGACUGAGAGGUUAGCCCCCCACACUGGUACUGAGACACGGACCAGACGCCUACGGGAGGCAGCAGUGAGGAAUAUUGGUCAAUGGGGGCAACCCUGGACCAGCCAUGCCGCGUGCAGGAAGACGGCUCUAUGAGUUGUAAACUGCUUUUAAACAGGGAUAAAGCACAGUAUGUAUACUGUGUUGAAGGUACUGUAAGAAUAAGGAUCGGCUAACUCCGUGCCAGCCGCCGCAGUAA